rnacentral:misc_RNA from 1 species
GAAGAACGUAGCGAAAUGCGAUAAGUAAUGUGAAUUGCAGAAUUCAGUGAAUCAUCGAAUCUUUGAACGCACAUUGCGCCCCUUGGUAUUCCGAGGGGCAUGCCUGUUCGAGCGUCAUUAUAACCCCUCAAGCUCAGCUUGGUGUUGGGGCCUGCUGCACUGGCAGCCCUUAAAAUCAGUGGCGGCGCCAUCUGGCUCUAAGCGUAGUAAUUCUUCUCGCUAUGGAGUCCUGGUGGAUGCUUGCCAUCAACCCCCAAUUUUUCUAUGGUUGACCUCGGAUCAGGUAGGGAUACCCGCUGAACUUAAGCAUAUCAAUAAGCGGAGGA